UGGAUGCAAUGAUGAGCGCAUAGUUCAGCAGAUCAAAAUGAAGAACAAACAUGUCUUUCGCUCCUAACUGAUGCAUCAG
ensembl:snoRNA small nucleolar RNA snR60/Z15/Z230/Z193/J17